rnacentral:rRNA from 1 species
AUUGAACGCUGGCGGCAUGCCUUACACAUGCAAGUCGAACGGCAGCACGGGAGCAAUCCUGGUGGCGAGUGGCGAACGGGUGAGUAAUAUAUCGGAACGUGCCCAGUCGUGGGGAUAACGUAGCGAAAGCUACGCUAAUACCGCAUACGAUCUACGGAUGAAAGCGGGGGGAUCGCAAGACCUCGCGCGAUUGGAGCGGCCGAUAUCAGAUUAGGUAGUUGGUGAGGUAAAGGCUCACCAAGCCGACGAUCUGUAGCUGGUCUGAGAGGACGACCAGCCACACUGGGACUGAGACACGGCCCAGACUCCUACGGGAGGCAGCAGUGGGGAAUUUUGGGACAAUGGGCGCAAGCCUGAUCCAGCAAUGCCGCGUGCAGGAUGAAGG